rnacentral:rRNA from 1 species
AGGUAAAAAAUCAGCGUGGUUAGCAGAACGAGUUGGAAAGCUUAGCCAGAGACUGUGAUAGCCAGGUAUGCGAAAACGACGCUGACCUUAUUCUGUAUUCUCGAGUAGGUCGGGGCACGAGAAACCCUGAUUGAAUCCGGCUGGACCACCAGCCAAGGCUAAAUAUAGUAUAUGAUCGAUAGUGAACUAGUACGGUGACGGAAAGGUGAAAAGAACCCCGGGAGGGGAGUGAAAUAGAACCUGAAAUUUUGUGCCUACAAGGAGUCGGAGCCCAGCACCUUUGAAAUCGAGUGGUACAAUGUAGACAGAUGUUCUACGUGUACGUUUUGCAAAGUGAUCGGGAAUCAGAUCAAAUUUACUUCGGUCAGACCAGUGACUUAAGACGACGUCUCUCGGAGCAUAAUUCCGGUAAGGAUACUUAUACUAGGAUAUAUGCGCCAUGGAAGGUUGUCUAUUAUGAAGCCUAUUCAUCACGUAAGCUGGCAUUAGCCCGUGAGAGACAGUUGAAAGCUUAUGGACAAGCCAGGACUGCCCUGAAGAAGAGACUAAAUUUGAUCUGAUACUCGAUUUCAAAGGUGCUGGGUGACGGCGUGCUUUUUGUAGAACGAUCCAGCGAGUUAAUUUUUACGGCGAGGUUAAGUCAGAUGACGAAGCCACAGUGAAAGCGAGCAUUAACAGUGCGAUUUAGUCGUAAGGAUUAGACCCGAAACCAGGUGACCUAACCAUGAGCAGGUUGAAGCAACCUUAAUCGGUUGUGGAGGACCGAACCAGUGUAUGUUACAAAAUGCUUGGAUGACUUGUGGUUAGCGGUGAAAUGCCAAUCGAACUUGGAGAUAGCUGGUUCUCCGCGAAAUAGUUAUAGGACUAGCGUCGUGUGAUAGCUUACGGGGGUAGAGCUCUGUCAAGAGAUAGGGGGAGCAAUCCUACCUACUCUUAAUAAACUACGAAUACCGUAUGUCUGUAUCACGGCAGUUAGAACGUCGGUGCUAAGAUCGGCGCUCAAAAGGGAAACAGCCCAGACCAUCAUCUAAGGUCCCCAAAUUUACGCUAAGUGGGAAACAAGGUGGAAUUUCUUAAACAGCUAGGAUGUUGGCUUAGAAGCAGCCAUUCAUUUAAAGAGUGCGUAACAGCUCACUAGUCAAGAGAUUCUGCGUGGAAGAUAUAACGGGGCUAAGCGUAAUACCGAAGAUAUGGAUUGCAAUUUAUUGCAGUGGUAGCGGAGCGUUCCUAUCAGCAGUGAAGCCAGACUGUUAAGUACUGGUGGAGCGUUAGGAAGUGAGAAUGCUGGAACGAGUAACCAUAAGACAGGUGAGAAUCCUGUCGGCCGAAAGAGCGAGGUUUCCUGGGCUAUGGUAAUCAUCCCAGGGUUAGUCGGGCCUAAGCCGAGGCGUUUAGCGUAGGCGAUGGACAUCAGGUUAAUAUUCCUGAACUAGUCAAACUUUGUAUGCAGUUAGCGAUGAGAUAGGUGGAGCGGAUUCAUGGUUUAUCCGUUCAAGUGAUAGAGGAAUCUUGAUCGAGUAAAAGUGAACCUACGGGUUUACGAUUCCACUGAAGGCAUUGACCAGAAAAGCUGGCAUACGCAUGGGUUUGGCUACCCGUACCGCAAACCGACACAGGUGCUCGAGUCGAGGAGACUAAGGCUUACGAGAGAAUGAUUGCUAAGGAACUCGGCAAUACAGCGACCGUAACUUCGGAAUAAGGUCUGCCUACAUUUGUAGGCCGCAGCUAAAGAGCCCACGGAACUGUUUAUCAAAAACUCAGGUCUCUGCUAACACGAAAGUGGAUGUAUAGGGGCUGAAACCUGCCCGGUGCCGGAAGGUUAAGGGGAUUGCUUCACGGUGAGAACUGAAGCCCCGGUGAACGGCGGCGGUAACUAUAACCGUCCUAAGGUAGCGAAAUUCCUUGUCAGGUAAGUUC